rnacentral:rRNA from 1 species
UACGUAGGGGGCUAGCGUUGUCCGGAAUCAUUGGGCGUAAAGCGCGCGUAGGCGGCCAGAUAAGUCCGGUGUGAAAGUCACAGGCUCAACCUGUGAAUGCCGCUGGAAACUGUCUGGCUAGAGUCCGGAAGGGGCGAGUGGAAUUCCUGGUGUAGCGGUGAAAUGCGCAGAUAUCGGGAAGAACACCUAUGGCGAAGGCAGCUCUCUGGGACGGUACUGACGCUGAGACGCGAAAGCGUGGGGAGCGAACAGG